GGCUCAGAUUGAACGCUGGCGGCAGGCCUAACACAUGCAAGUCGAGCGGCAGCACGGGUACUUGUACCUGGUGGCGAGCGGCGGACGGGUGAGUAAUGCCUAGGAAUCUGCCUGGUAGUGGGGGAUAACGUUCGGAAACGAACGCUAAUACCGCAUACGUCCUACGGGAGAAAGCAGGGGACCUUCGGGCCUUGCGCUAUCAGAUGAGCCUAGGUCGGAUUAGCUAGUUGGUGAGGUAAUGGCUCACCAAGGCGACGAUCCGUAACUGGUCUGAGAGGAUGAUCAGUCACACUGGAACUGAGACACGGUCCAGACUCCUACGGGAGGCAGCAGUGGGGAAUAUUGGACAAUGGGCGAAAGCCUGAUCCAGCCAUGCCGCGUGUGUGAAGAAGGUCUUCGGAUUGUAAAGCACUUUAAGUUGGGAGGAAGGGCAGUUACCUAAUACGUAAUUGUUUUGACGUUACCGACAGAAUAAGCACCGGCUAACUCUGUGCCAGCAGCCGCGGUAAUACAGAGGGUGCAAGCGUUAAUCGGAAUUACUGGGCGUAAAGCGCGCGUAGGUGGUUCGUUAAGUUGGAUGUGAAAUCCCCGGGCUCAACCUGGGAACUGCAUUCAAAACUGUCGAGCUAGAGUAUGGUAGAGGGUGGUGGAAUUUCCUGUGUAGCGGUGAAAUGCGUAGAUAUAGGAAGGAACACCAGUGGCGAAGGCGACCACCUGGACUGAUACUGAC
rnacentral:rRNA from 1 species